CCCUUAGAUGUUCUGGGCCGCACGCGUGCUACACUGAUGCAUUCAACGAGUCUAAAACCUGGUCUGAUAGGGCUGGGUAAUCUUUUGAAAGUGCAUCGUGAUUGGGAUAGAUUAUUGAAAUUAUUAAUCUUGAACGAGGAAUUCCUAGUAAACGCAGAUCAUCAAUCUGCAUUGAUUACGUCCCUGCCCUUUGUACACACCGCCCGUCGCACCUACCGAUUGGAUGGUCCGGUGAAGCCUCGGGAUUGUGGUUCUUGCCGCUUUAUUGUGGCGUGACCGCGAGAACUUGUCUAAACCUUAUCAUCUAGAGGAAGGUGAAGUCGUAACA
rnacentral:rRNA from 1 species